CAAAAAAAGAAAAGCCCGAUUGGCCCAUUCCCAACCCCACCCACCUCCCGCAUCACCUCUGUCGGAUCUCCCGACACCUCCCGCCGCCGCCCCUGGCUCCAGCGCGCUUCUUCCCUCUGACCGGCGUCGCCGCCGCACUUCCUUCCACACGGCCGGCGCCCCUCUCGCCGGAGCGCCACCUCCCAAUCCGCCGGCGCUCCUCCUCCGACUCCAGCCUGAUCCACCCUGAUGCGCGUGACCCACCGGGCGCCGCACCUGCAUCUCGCCGCCCCGCUCCCUGGCCACCGGAGCGCCAUCCUCCCUACCCCACCGCUGCCACCCUGCUCCUGGCCGAAACCCAUGACGCCCCGUCUCUCCUCCCUGGACCGUUGUUGCGCGCCGCCAAUGCGGGACACCUCCCCGAUGCGCUGCUGCCGUGCUGUGGAUGACCACGAGCGACCUUCUUCCACCUCUCCAAGCGCCGCCACUCGGGACGCCACACACUCAGGCUCCCCUGCCGUCGCGAACUUCUUGCUCCUGCCACCACGACCUUCUCCCCCUGCCGCCGCGUCCUUCUUCCACGCACUCAGAACUUGGCCAUUUUUGGACGAGGAAUCAAGAUCACCCCUGCUGUCCUGUUUGGAUCUACUCGGUUGCUGGUGUUUUCUUCGAGGCUACUCACACCCGAGCUCCCACUAGCUACGGCAAUCUCAUUCCCGCAGCGGAUGUCGCCGACCUCGACUAGUGGUUGCCGGAUUUUGUGUUUCUUAUGUACAAAACUGAUGCAUUUCUUCUCUUGUUUCUGCAGUUUUCUUAACUGAACUUUACUGUGUCGACUGAUUGAACUGCACAGAACUUAACUGUCUAGGCUGCAAGGGUGUCACGAGAAGGUGGCUCGAGCCGGCGGGAGAUGCAGCAGUUCGAUGCAGCCCCUCCAUGUCGUUCAACUCAUGCAACCAGCUGGCUCAAAGCCAAUAGUGAGCUCCUACUUCGACUCACUGCCCAAAUAGCUUCUGGGCAUGUGUCGAUGUGUGGUUGAAGCUCUUUCUUUCUCUCCAUAGUCUCAUGUGCUGAUGAUGCCCUCUCAGUCUCUCUUAUCUCAGUUUGGCACACCCAAAAAAUGAUUUUGUUACUCUCAGUUUGGCACGCCAUUGCUGGUUGAGGAAGCUUUCUCUGGUACCUGUCAUGGCAAGAGCUUGAGACGAUGUGGUUGGGCGUGCAGGUACUGCAUGCCGGACCCACAGGAGGACUUCGAAGAGGGGUACGAGGGGAAGCAGGUGGUGGUGGAGAACCUGCCGGCAGCUGUGCGUGCACCGGGUGGCCAACGAGAGCGGGCGGCCGUGGGCGUGGUGGGACUUCACCAUGGACUACAAGCUGCGGUGCUCCAUGAAGGAGAAGAAGUACAGCAAGGCGUGCGCUGAGGAGGUGGUGGCCUCGCUCGGGCUGUCACUGGAGAAGGUGCUGGCGUGCAUGGGAGACCCCGACGCCGACGCUGACAAUGCCGUGCUGUCCAAGGAGCAGGAGGACCAGAUCGGGCACGGGUCGCGCGGGGGACGUCACCAUCCUGCCCACGCUCGUCAUCAACGACGUCCAGUACAGAGGGAAGCUGGAGAGGACGGCGGUGCUCAAGGCCAUGUGCGCCGGCUUCAAGGAGGGGACCGAGCCGCAAGUUUGCCUGAGCCAUGACAUGGAGACGAACGAGUGCCUGCACCAGAACGGCGGGUGCUGGCGGGACAAGGCGACGAACAUGACGGUGUGCAGGGACACGUAGCGGGGCAGGGUGUGCGAGUGCCCCAUGGUGAACGGCGUCCGCUACGACGGUGACGGGUACACCCACUGCAAAGCAAGUACUAGUUGCUCCUGCCAUGCUACCUUUGGUCGAGAGCACAUAGCUCAGUAGACAGAGCUUGACAAGAUAGAAAUGCAACAUGUGGUGCAGAGAAGGCCACAUUUCUCAUGCGGCACACAUUUUCUUUUUUUCUCUUUGUAUGUAAAAAGGGUGUUUAGGCUUACCACCACAUUUAGGGAUCCAUCUUCGGUCUCCUCCACCAUGCUCCUGCAGGUCGACUGCAUCGCCACACGAAGUUCACAGGCCAUAGCUACGGACGGACGAAAUUCCAACUGUACUGCAACCCCUCAGGAUCCACAGUGGCCAAAGAUGGCGAUCCACAGUUGUUCGGUGUAAUGCCUAAGGAGAAAACAAUGUCUCUCUCACUUUUGUUUUUCGAAAGACCUACCUAUCAUCUUGCCGCUGCUGCGUUAGAGUGGCUCCAUCUGCAGAUGGGGGAGGUCUCGACCAGCAGCUGGGAGAAGUCUCGACCUGCACCUGGUCACGCGUGCCACUGCCACUUAGGUCCACCACCUACAGCUGGCGCCGCAGUGCCUCAACCAUUCAACUAUGCCACCUCAGCAGUUCAAUAUAUAUUGGAGAAGAAGAAAAAACAACAGUAGGUUCAAAUGUUGUGUUUUGUGAUUGUUGUAGACUUGCAGCAAAUUAGAGGUGGUCUCAAAGAAAAAAAUUGUUCCCUUUGAUGGAGCACCUGGCCGUUCCAUUUGUUUUGUUUUGUUUUGCAAAUUGCUAGUUGGCCGUAUAGCUUCAGUAGUGGUAUAAUGCUUUAGGUUCCUGACUAUUGGUCUUGAUGUUUGGCCGUACUUGAGGUUCCAUGCUUGAGGUUGAGCUCGGUAAUGUAUACGGGAGCAGUUUGGAUUUGGUA